CCUACGGGAGGCUGCAGUAGGGAAUAUUGCACAAUGGAGGAAACUCUGAUGCAGCGACGCCGCGUGAGUGACGAAGGCCUUCGGGUUGUAAAGCUCUGUUCUCAGGGAAAAAGCAAGUGAUUGUACCUGAGGAGAAAGGACCGGCUAACUUCGUGCCAGCAGCCGCGGUAAGACGAGGGGUCCAAGCGUUGUUCGGAAUUAUUGGGCGUAAAGCGGGUGUAGGUGGCUCUAUAAGUCAGAAGUGAAAGCCCCGGGCUUAACCCGGGAAGUGCUUUUGAUACUGCAGAGCUUGAAUGUGGGAGAGGGUAGUGGAAUUCCAGGUGUAGUGGUGAAAUACGUAGAUAUCUGGAGGAACACCGGUGGCGAAGGCGGCUACCUGGCCCAACAUUGACACUGAGACCCGAAAGCGUGGGGAUCAAACAGGAUUAGAUACCCCAGUA
rnacentral:rRNA from 1 species